UUCACCAGACAUUGAAGUGUGUCGUUAAGAAAGACGGCACCCACAAACCAAAAAAAGGGAAACAAAUAAAUCUCAAUGGGCAGUUAGCUUCAUGCCUGACUGACAGCAUUGACGAAGAAUUCAAGAAGACCUUCCCAAAUGAAAGAAAGUAUGGACAAUUCAACAAUGUCAUCACUAAGUUUUCACUUGACACAAAGAGUCUGAUUAAAAAGUACAAAGAUGUUGAACUGCAGCUGAUAUUUCUCAAGACAGAGGAAGACAAAAUUAAGACAGAACUCAACAAAAUGAUCCGGGAGCGUAAGAAAAUAAUCUACAAGAGUUUGACCGUGACAAUUGGGAAAAACAUGCAAGAAGCCUACGACGAAGCCACAAAUUUUAGAGGAAAGGACACGCUGGAAAAUAUGAGAGACACUCUUGAGAAGCACGUACGUGCUGCAAAGAACACCAUGUUUGAGGAGGCUUAAGAAGAAUUGUUGAAACAGCUGAGAGAAUUGAUGGAGGAGAUCCUGGAGAAGCUGGAGAAAACAAUGCAGGAAUCAAUCGAGCUGUCACUCAAGACAGAUGGUGACUCAAUCCUAGAUGUUACAUGGCAGCUUGAGGAGGUGAACAAUUACUACAAUGAACUGAAGGCCCAGCAGCAGAGUCCAUGACAUGCACAGGUUUGCUCCGUGGAGAGAAACAGCCGAGGCCAGAUUCCCCACUGAAGGUCCUGCAGACCCACUGGUUACUGACGUCAGGCCUCUGGAUUUAGUCUCAACCAUUUUUGUCAAGUUGCUGUCCCUGUACUCUUUAAGUGUUGUUUUGAUAUGUACUUUGAGUUUGCUUAUGGUGAACUACAUGGUGAGAGAUUUUAGAUUUUCUAUUUUUGGUAAUGCAUUUUUGAUUAUAGAUCAGAGGCAAACAGAAAAUGUGGGAGAGAGAGAGAGAGAGAGAGAGAGAGAGAGAGAUGAAAUGCAGCAAAGUUUCCCAGUCUGAUUUUAAACCAUGGACGUUGUGGUUUUAAUGGUUCACGUCUUAGCCACUAGGCCAAUAUGGUGUAUUCUUGUUUUUAAUGAUUGAACAUGAUUUGAUUUUUUGUUCUCUUUGAAUAUAUUUUCAUGUUUUUUUUCCAUAAUUUGAUUUUAUUAGUAUUGGUCAAUUGGGAUGAGCUUGGUGAAAUUUUAAUGAUUUUAUGGGUGUGUAAUUUAAAUUGUAACCUUGAUUUUGGUACAUACUGUACGUUGGAUUUGAAAUAGGCUUCUCAAAGAAUGAUGAUGAUCUUUUUUCCUUAAAGGUCCAGUGUGUAACGUGUUUAGUUGUUCAUUAUCAAAAUCUGUGUUGCCCGUUCACAAAC